UGGGGAAUUUUGGACAAUGGGCGCAAGCCUGAUCCAGCCAUGCCGCGUGAGUGAAGAAGGCCUUCGGGUUGUAAAGCUCUUUCGGCGGGGAAGAAAUUGCGUGGGUUAAUACCCUGCGUAGAUGACGGUACCCGCAUAAGAAGCACCGGCUAACUACGUGCAAGCAGCCGCGGUAAUCCGUAGGGUGCGAGCGUUAAUCGGAAUUACUGGGCGUAAAGCGUGCGCAGGCGGUUAUAUAAGUCAGAUGUGAAAGCCCCGGGCUCAACCUGGGAACUGCAUUUGAGACUGUAUGACUAGAGUGUGGCAGAGGGGGGGGGAAUUCCACGUGGAGCAGUGAAAUGCGUAGAGAUGUGGAGGAACACCGAUGGCGAAGGCAGCCCCCUGGGCCAAUACUGACGCUCAUGCACGAAAGCGUGGGGAGCAAACA
rnacentral:rRNA from 1 species